GGUGGCUCAGUGGUAGAGUGCUUGCUUGGCAUGCAUGAAGCCCUAGGUUCGAGUCCUCAGCACCA
rnacentral:tRNA from 1 species